UAAAGGGACCCCCCUAGUAAAUUUCACAAUCUUAUGGGAGACAGACCACAAUAAACAUUGUCUCAAUAUGUUAUUAUAAAUUGAUUAUAUUGGUUAUCCUUGAAGUUUAAAUUCUAAAUAUGUUAUUAUAAAAUGUUCACACUGGUUAAGUUCUAAAUAUGUUAUUGUGAUAUGUCUACCUUGGUCAUCUUCAGAAGAUUAAUUUCUGUGCCAUAAACAAAAGUGUUAUUAUGAAGAUGCUUUUGGUACCAAACUACAUUAAAGAACAUAAUGUUUUAUAUAACUGUAAUGUUAUUGCUCCUUUUCUUGUGUACAAAAUGUAUUUAUGCCCUCUAAUUGUAUGGGUCUUCUAACAUUGUUUAUGGUAAUAACCUUUUGAUUCAGAUAUUUGCCUUUCUCUUAUGCUCCAGCCACCUAUGAUAAUAAGCACAGUUGUAGGCUGAUUUAUUUUCCUUAGAUGACGUCCUAUAAAAAGAUCAGAGCUCAGAGUUGAUCAGCUGUCUGCUCGUCUCCACCAGCUUCAACUACAGGGACGUCCUCGUCACCGUCCUGCAUGCUCUACCAGACAAAGCCCUCCACCGACCUGGGGCCCGAUUAAGAGCCUCACCGAAAAGGCCAAGGGUCUCGUUUAUAGUCAGCAUCUCCCUGUGACUUCUGAUAGGCUGUUUGUUGCAAUGUUAGCUGUCAUUGCUACUCAGUCAUCUUCAGACAAUUAAUUCGAGCCCUCAAGAAUAUCCAACUUGAACUCCACGCUGCCAAAAAAAUAAAAAA